rnacentral:rRNA from 1 species
AGAGUUUGAUCAUGGCUCAGGACGAACGCUGGCGGCGUGCCUAACACAUGCAAGUCGAGCGAGGGACGACCGUCCCUAGCGGCGGACGGGUGAGUAACACGUGGGUAACCUGCCUCAUAGAGGGGGAUAGCCUCCCGAAAGGGAGAUUAAUACCGCAUAACAUCAUGCUAACGCAUGUUAGUAUGAUUAAAGGAGCAAUCCGCUAUGAGAUGGACCCGCGGCGCAUUAGCUAGUUGGUGAGGUAACGGCUCACCAAGGCGACGAUGCGUAGCCGACCUGAGAGGGUGAUCGGCCACAUUGGAACUGAGACACGGUCCAGACUCCUACGGGAGGCAGCAGUGGGGAAUAUUGCACAAUGGGCGAAAGCCUGAUGCAGCAACGCCGCGUGAGUGAUGAAGGCCUUCGGGUUGUAAAGCUCUGUCUUUUGGGACGAUAAUGACGGUACCAAAGGAGGAAGCCACGGCUAACUACGUGCCAGCAGCCGCGGUAAUACGUAGGUGGCAAGCGUUGUCCGGAUUUACUGGGCGUAAAGGAUGCGUAGGUGGAUAUUUAAGUGGGAUGUGAAAUACCCGGGCUCAACUUGGGUGCUGCAUUCCAAACUGGAUAUCUAGAGUGCAGGAGAGGAAAGUGGAAUUCCUAGUGUAGCAGUGAAAUGCGUAGAUAUUAGGAGGAACACCAGUGGCGAAGGCGGCUUUCUGGACUGUAACUGACACUGAGGCAUGAAAGCGUGGGGAGCAAACAGGAUUAGAUACCCUGGUAGUCCACGCCGUAAACGAUGGGUACUAGGUGUGGGAGUUGUCAUGACUUCCGUGCCGUCGUUAACACAGUAAGUACCCCGCCUGGGGAGUACGAUCGCAAGAUUAAAACUCAAAUGAAUUGACGG